UUGAACGCUGGCGGCAGGCCUAACACAUGCAAGUCGAGCGGUAGCACAGAGAGCUUGCUCUCGGGUGACGAGCGGCGGACGGGUGAGUAAUGUCUGGGAAACUGCCUGAUGGAGGGGGAUAACUACUGGAAACGGUAGCUAAUACCGCAUAACGUCGCAAGACCAAAGUGGGGGACCUUCGGGCCUCAUGCCAUCAGAUGUGCCCAGAUGGGAUUAGCUAGUAGGUGGGGUAACGGCUCACCUAGGCGACGAUCCCUAGCUGGUCUGAGAGGAUGACCAGCCACACUGGAACUGAGACACGGUCCAGACUCCUACGGGAGGCAGCAGUGGGGAAUAUUGCACAAUGGGCGCAAGCCUGAUGCAGCCAUGCCGCGUGUGUGAAGAAGGCCUUCGGGUUGUAAAGCACUUUCAGCGGGGAGGAAGGCGUUAAGGUUAAUAACCUUGGCGAUUGACGUUACCCGCAGAAGAAGCACCGGCUAACUCCGUGCCAGCAGCCGCGGUAAUACGGAGGGUGCAAGCGUUAAUCGGAAUUACUGGGCGUAAAGCGCACGCAGGCGGUCUGUCAAGUCGGAUGUGAAAUCCCCGGGCUCAACCUGGGAACUGCAUUCGAAACUGGCAGGCUAGAGUCUUGUAGAGGGGGGUAGAAUUCCAGGUGUAGCGGUGAAAUGCGUAGAGAUCUGGAGGAAUACCGGUGGCGAAGGCGGCCCCCUGGACAAAGACUGACGCUCAGGUGCGAAAGCGUGGGGAGCAAACAGGAUUAGAUACCCUGGUAGUCCACGCCGUAAACGAUGUCGAUUUGGAGGUUGUGCCCUUGAGGCGUGGCUUCCGGAGCUAACGCGUUAAAUCGACCGCCUGGGGAGUACGGCCGCAAGGUUAAAACUCAAAUGAAUUGACGGGGGCCCGCACAAGCGGUGGAGCAUGUGGUUUAAUUCGAUGCAACGCGAAGAACCUUACCUGGUCUUGACAUCCACAGAACUUUCCAGAGAUGGAUUGGUGCCUUCGGGAACUGUGAGACAGGUGCUGCAUGGCUGUCGUCAGCUCGUGUUGUGAAAUGUUGGGUUAAGUCCCGCAACGAGCGCAACCCUUAUCCUUUGUUGCCAGCGGUUCGGCCGGGAACUCAAAGGAGACUGCCAGUGAUAAACUGGAGGAAGGUGGGGAUGACGUCAAGUCAUCAUGGCCCUUACGACCAGGGCUACACACGUGCUACAAUGGCAUAUACAAAGAGAAGCGACCUCGCGAGAGCAAGCGGACCUCAUAAAGUAUGUCGUAGUCCGGAUUGGAGUCUGCAACUCGACUCCAUGAAGUCGGAAUCGCUAGUAAUCGUAGAUCAGAAUGCUACGGUGAAUACGUUCCCGGGCCUUGUACACACCGCCCGUCACACCAUGGGAGUGGGUUGCAAAAGAAGUAGGUAGCUUAACCUUCGGGAGGGCGCUUACCACUUUGUGAUUCAUGACUGGGGUG
rnacentral:rRNA from 1 species